GACGAACGCUGGCGGCGUGCUUAACACAUGCAAGUCGAACGGUGAAGGGAUCAGCUUGCUGGUUCUGGAUGAGUGGCGAACGGGUGAGUAACACGUGAGUAACCUGCCCCCUUCUUCUGGAUAACCGCAUGAAAGUGUGGCUAAUACGGGAUAUUCUGCGCCUGCUGCAUGGUGGGUGUGGGAAAGAUAUUGUUUCGGUGGGGGAUGGGCUCGCGGCCUAUCAGCUUGUUGGUGGGGUGAUGGCCUACCAAGGCGGUGACGGGUAGCCGGCCUGAGAGGGUGGACGGUCACACUGGGACUGAGACACGGCCCAGACUCCUACGGGAGGCAGCAGUGGGGAAUAGUGCACAAUGGGCGCAAGCCUGAUGCAGCGACGCCGCGUGAGGGAUGGAGGCCUUCGGGUUGUGAACCUCUUUCGCCAGUGAAGCAGGCCUGUCCCUUGUGGGUGGGUUGACGGUAGCUGGAUAAGAAGCGCCGGCUAACUACGUG
rnacentral:rRNA from 1 species